rnacentral:misc_RNA from 1 species
GAUGAAGAACGGAGCGAAAUGCGAUAAGUAAUGCGAAUUGCAGAAUCCGUGAGUCAUCGAAUCUUUGAACGCACAUUGCGCCCUUUGGUAUUCCGAAGGGCAUGCCUGUUCGAGCGUCAUUAUCACCCCUCAAGCCCCGGCUUGGUGUUGGGCUCUCGGUGGUCGUCUCCGACCACCCGUCUCAAAGAAAGUGACGGCGUCCCAGAGGGAACCGGUACGAGGAGCUUUCACGAGCAUGUACGCGGGACGACUCUGCGGGCGACGGUCUUAUUUACUUUAUAUACAAGUGAUGACCUCGGAUCAGGGAGGAAUACCCGCUGAACUUAAGCAUAUCAAUAAGCGGAGGA